CGCUCCCUGUAUAAGCCUAAAUAGGGAGUCAGACCUGCCCAGUGAAUAUUUUUAACGGCCGCGGUACUCUGACCGUGCAAAGGUAGCAUAAUCAUUUGCCUUAUAAUUGAAGGCUCGUAUGAAUGGUUCGACAAGAAUGUAGCUGUCUCUUUAUAAUUAAGCAGAAUUUUAUUUCUAGGUGAAGAAGCCUAGAUGUUACUGAAAGACAAGAAGACCCUAUCGAGCUUAAAAUAAAUUAAUAAAAUUAUAAUUUUUUAUAUAUAAAAAAUUAAUUAUUAAAGAUUUUAGUUGGGGCGACUAAGGAACAAAAAAAGCUUCCUUAAAUAAUUCUAAGGCAAACAAGCAUUGAUCCAGAAAUUUUGAUUAAUGAAAUUAGUUACCGUAGGGAUAACAGCAUUAUCUUUUUUGAGAGUUCUAAUCGAAAAAAAGGUUUGUGACCUCGAUGUUGGACCAGAAUAUCCUAAAGAUGCAGCCGUCUUUAAGGGUUGGUCUGUUCGACCAUUAAAAUUCUACGUGAUCUGAGUUCAGACCGGCGUGAGCCAGGUCAGUUUCUAUCUUCAGUUAUAUAAAUAGAUUUAGUACGAAAGGACCAGUUUAUUGCAAAUCUAAGUUGUUUCUAGAGAAAAAAUAUAACAGAUUUUUAAUUUACUAAGAUAUACAGAUCAAAUUAGCAAAGCUAAUGCAAUUGACUUAGGAUCAGUAGACAUAGGUGAAACUCCUUUAUUUGAUAUUAAAAAUAAUAAAGGUGGCAGAAUCAA
rnacentral:rRNA from 1 species